rnacentral:rRNA from 1 species
AUUGAACGCUGGCGGCAUGCCUAACAUAUGCAAGUCGCACGCGAAAGGGGGCAACCCUGAGUAGAGUGGCGGACGGGUGAGUAACGCGUAGGAAUCUACCUGGUAGUGGGGGACAACCCGGUGAAAACCGGGCUAAUACCGCAUACGAUCCACGGAUGAAAGCAGGGGACCGCAAGGCCUUGCGCUAUCAGAUGAGCCUGCGUCGGAUUAGCUAGUUGGUGGGGUAAAGGCCCACCAAGGCGACGAUCCGUAGCUGGUUUGAGAGAACGACCAGCCACACUGGGACUGAGACACGGCCCAGACUACUACGGGAGGCAGCAGUGGGGAAUAUUGGACAAUGGGGGCAACCCUGAUCCAGCAAUGCCGCGUGUGUGAAGAAGGCCUUCGGGUUGUAAAGCACUUUCGGUGGGGACAAACAAGGUGGAGCUAACAUCUCCGCCUCUGAUGGUACCCAAAGAAGAAGCACCGGCUAACUCUGUGCCAGCAGCCGCAGUAA